rnacentral:lncRNA from 1 species
AUGAGGUUUUUUAAUACCGGAAACUGUAGAGGGUUCUUUGUUUCCGGCGGUGGAAUGGACGCAUCAAUCACUGGGUUUGAAGAGGGGUUAUCGCAUACAUGGUCAGCCUAGGGUUAGGAUGAAGAUGCAGUGAGAUGACGGCACAGGACAUCUUAAUUUAUGCAAAAAAAUCUGAUUUGUUUCGAUUCAGUAUGGAGACCACUCCAGUCGAUCGAUGAGGUAUUUGAAACGUUGAAAUUACAAAUGAGGGAUUGACGAGUGAAGAAGGGAAUAAGAGGCUUAAUGUAUUGGCCCUAACAAGCUAGAAGAGAACAAGAUGGACUGUACAAAUGAUUCACACCCGAAUUUUAUUGGUGGCAGUAAGGAU